GAUGAACGCUGGCGGCGUGCCUAAUACAUGCAAGUCGAGCGAACGGACGCGAAGCUUGCUUUUCUGAUGUUAGCGGCGGACGGGUGAGUAACACGUGGAUAACCUACCUAUAAGACUGGGAUAACUUCGGGAAACCGGAGCUAAUACCGGAUAAUAUUCUGAUCCGCAUGGUUCAUAAGUGAAAGACGGUCUUGCUGUCACUUAUAGAUGGAUCCGCGCUGCAUUAGCUAGUUGGUAAGGUAACGGCUUACCAAGGCGACGAUGCAUAGCCGACCGGAUAGGGGGAUCGGCCGCACUGGAACGGGGCCACCGUCCUGACUCCUGCGGGAGGCAGCAGUAGGGUAUCUUCCGCAGUGGUCGGAAGCCUGACGGAGCAGCGCCGCGUGUGUGAUGACGGUCUUCGGAUCGUAAAGCUCUGUUAUUAGGUAUGAACAUAUGUGUAAGUAACUGUGCACAGCUUGACGGUACCUGGUCAGAAAGCCACGGCUAACUACGUG
rnacentral:rRNA from 1 species